rnacentral:rRNA from 1 species
UGGGGAAUAUUGCGCAAUGGGCGAAAGCCUGACGCAGCGACGCCGCGUGAGGGAUGAAGGUUCUCGGAUCGUAAACCUCUGUCAGAAGGGAAGAAACCGCACUGUGCUAAUCAGCAGUGCCUUGACGGUACCUUCAAAGGAAGCACCGGCUAACUCCGUGCCAGCAGCCGCGGUAAUACGGAGGGUGCAAGCGUUAAUCGGAAUUACUGGGCGUAAAGCGCACGUAGGCUGCUUUGUAAGUCAGGGGUGAAAUCCCACGGCUCAACCGUGGAACUGCCUUUGAUACUGCUUAGCGUGAGUCCGGGAGAGGGUGGCGGAAUUCCAGGUGUAGGAGUGAAAUCCGUAGAUAUCUGGAGGAACAUCAGUGGCGAAGGCGGCCACCUGGACCGGUAUUGACGCUGAGGUGCGAAAGCGUGGGGAGCAAACAGG